rnacentral:lncRNA from 1 species
CUUGGACAAGCUCUGAGAGGCUUACAAUGGCAGAAGAUGGAUGGAAGAAUCGAGUGUCGCGUGGAUCGUUCUAACGGCUUUAUCUGUUUCGGCACGCUUCUUAGACGCAAUGCUGCUCCGAGGCCGCUCCGCGAGCAUCUCUGGCUGCACAAGGCUACACUGCAGGCUUACUGUGCACAGUUGUAAACGAGACUUCCGCCCAACACUUGGCCGGCCCUGGAGGGUUCGCAUGCCUUGAAGGUCAUUGCGAGGAUGAAAUAAGAUGAAGCAUGUGAAACUCCUGGGUGACUUGUCAGCAGCUGGAG